rnacentral:rRNA from 1 species
AACGAACGCUGGCGGCAUGCCUAACACAUGCAAGUCGAACGAGACCUUCGGGUCUAGUGGCGCACGGGUGCGUAACGCGUGGGAACCUGCCCUUAGGUUCGGAAUAACUCCCCGAAAGGGGUGCUAAUACCGGAUAAUGUCUUCGGACCAAAGAUUUAUCGCCUUUGGAUGGGCCCGCGUUGGAUUAGCUAGUUGGUAGGGUAAAAGCCUACCAAGGCGACGAUCCAUAGCUGGUCUGAGAGGAUGAUCAGCCACACUGGGACUGAGACACGGCCCAGACUCCUACGGGAGGCAGCGGUGGGGAAUAUUGGACAAUGAGCGCAAGCCUGAUCCAGCAAUGCCGCGUGAGUGAUGAAGGCCUUAGGGUUGUAAAGCUCUUUUACCCGGGAUGAUAAUGACAGUACCGGGAGAAUAAGCUCCGGCUAACUCCGUG